rnacentral:rRNA from 1 species
UACGUAGGGUGCAAGCGUUAAUCGGAAUUACUGGGCGUAAAGCGUGCGCAGGCGGUUUUGUAAGUCUGUCGUGAAAGCCCCGGGCUUAACCUGGGAAUUGCGAUGGGAGACUGCAAGGCUUGAAUCUGGCAGAGGGGGGUAGAAUUCCACGUGUAGCAGUGAAAUGCGUAGAGAUGUGGAGGAACACCGAUGGCGAAGGCAGCCCCCUGGGUCAAGAUUGACGCUCAUGCACGAAAGCGUGGGGAGCAAACAGG